rnacentral:rRNA from 1 species
UACGUAGGGCGCAAGCGUUGUCCGGAAUUAUUGGGCGUAAAGAGCUCGUAGGCGGCCUGUUGCGUCCGCUGUGAAAUCCCGGGGCUCAACCCCGGGCCUGCAGUGGAUACGGGCUGGCUAGAGGCAGGCAGGGGAGAACGGAAUUCCUGGUGUAGCGGUGAAAUGCGCAGAUAUCAGGAAGAACACCGGUGGCGAAGGCGGCUCACUGGCUCAUUUCUGACGCUCAGGCGCGACAGCGUGGGGAUCAAACAGG